AGUUUAUGAGGGUCUAUGGCAUUUCGGGUAGGUGAUCUAUAUCUGCCUAAAACAGUAGAUACGUACAAUUAUUUAUCUCCUUCCUGACUGAAAUAACUCAGUGAGCACAGAGUAAAGAAUAGUAGAGCUGUGAUAUCUUGAUAUUUCUUUAUAUCCACAAUGAAGGGUAAUUAUAAAUCAAGUCCUUUGUGAUGUCAACUUCACUCAGAACGUAUGUUUUAAGUCAAAUCCAUGUUUAAUUGUUUUCUUUAGGGAUCACUGCUUUCCUAAGCCAAUUCUCAGACAUUCACAAAAACAAGACCUUUAAUUUAUCAGAAAUGGCUCCAGGAGUCAAAUAGCUAUUGGCAAGAUGACAAAUAAAGACAUGGAUGGGAUUUCCUGAGCUCCCCUGAAUGUUGGUCUGUGAGUCUUUUCAGCUCCUUUCAGUUGCUGGAUGAAGCCUCUUUGAUGACAAUUUCUAGGCUCCUGUCUACGAGUAUGGCACACGAAUGGGAACAGAACACUGAAGGAAAUCUUGCAGCUGUUGCUCAUCCUCAUGAUGAGCCUGGAAGAGAAGGUGAUGUCAGCUGAAGUGUGCACAGCUGGAGACGCACUGUGCAUGCGCCUUUGAAAUAGGUAUUUUUCAACAGACCAUCAGUCUCCCACAAGGAAAUAUCCAGAAUGGAAGAGGUUAUGAUUCUUUGGGAAAGCCUCUUGAGAAACCAUUACAGAAUUUUCUUAUAAACAGAAGAAAUCCAAUAUGCUUCAAAGCCUUGUAAAGGGCUUGAAAGAGAGGAGAAUAAUCGUCUAACCCUGACCAUCAAGUCGAAAUCAUCAUGAGCAUGACUGGAAGAAAAAGCUGGAUAAAAAAGAAUUUCAAUGAAGACCAUUGUGGACAGACUACUCCAACAUUGCUAGGCGGCACAGAAAUUUGAACCUGAGGGCAGGUCAGGAACCACUAGGUUAGAGAGGGGAAGGAGAGAGAACAGAGGGACUGCAAUGCUUUGCGGGCAGGUCAACCUGGACUGUAUAAGAAAACAGGCUGAGCAAGAAGAGGAGACAAACAGGUACUCUCAGAGGUUAGAAGACAACGUUGAAUGCCCUGAAGGUAGACUUAUAGGCACUUCUGAUGGAUCUGCCUGCUAUGACUGCUGAAAACUCUGGCCCUCUAAGAGCAGCAAGCACCCUUCACUAUGGAGGCAUGAAGUGGAAGUUACUGGUUGUGUCAUGUGACACAGUCUCACAUGAUGUUUUGCUGAUGUAAGACCAGUGAGAGGACAUGUGAUGUUUGGAGAGAGUAUAAAUAGGACCCAACAGAUAGUGACUUCAUGCUUGCAUUCCUUGCCAUAUUUUAUUGGUCAUUUUUCUUCCCUGAUCUUCACUUCCUUGAGAGAGGCACAAAAGAAAACUUCUCCUGGAGUCCCAGCUGGUUCUGGUCACUCCUGCUAACUCCUGAUUUGGCAGAGGCCUGGCUGUCUUUUCUGGAUCACGUCACUGCUGCUGAGUUUUUGGUACCUGACACUACUGAACUGGGCAGCUGGUAUCCCGAGGAAUGGAGAUUGGAAUCACCACAAAGAACUACUUCUAAACAGAAUGUUGAUGAAAUCAUUGAUAUAUUUGAUAUUGGGGAUAAUUGUUGAUAUCUGUGAUUUUCCCUUAAAAUACAUAUGCCAUUACCAGACUGCUUACAAUAUCAGUUCUCUGAAGAAGACAGGAGGACUGAAGCUAGUUCAAGGUUCAUGAUUUCACUCCAGUAGAUUCUGCCAGUUGAAGUCAAGUCUUGAUAGAUUUCCACUACUGUUUCUGCCCUGAAUGAAGUUAAGAGCUUGUUGAAAGUAGAUAUGAGUUUAAAACACGUAUCACAACAAUGGCAUUUCUAUUCCAGUUCUCCAUUGUGUAUGUUCAAGUGGUCCUUGCUGUUUAAACUGAAAGUGUAGAACAUCAGACUCUCAGCCAUGGUCACAAUUACUGCCAAAGUGGCUUUGAGGCUUCUGCAUAAAUAGUAGCCCAGGCCGGACAAAGGAAACUGGUGUCAACGAGUUUUAUUCCUUAUGGAGACUGUCUGGAUGCCCCAGAAGGACAUCCCAGGAUGAUUUUUUUCCCUCACUUUUU
rnacentral:lncRNA from 1 species